AGAGUUUGAUCCUGGCUCAGGACGAACGCUGGCGGCGCGCCUAACACAUGCAAGUCGAACGGAGCUUAGAGAGCUUGCUUUUUAAGCUUAGUGGCGAACGGGUGAGUAACGCGUGAGUAACCUGCCCUAGAGUGGGGGACAACAGUUGGAAACGACUGCUAAUACCGCAUAAGCCCACGGUACCGCAUGGUACUGAGGGAAAAGGAUUUAUUCGCUUUAGGAUGGACUCGCGUCCAAUUAGCUAGUUGGUGAGGUAACGGCCCACCAAGGCGACGAUUGGUAGCCGGACUGAGAGGUUGAACGGCCACAUUGGGACUGAGACACGGCCCAGACUCCUACGGGAGGCAGCAGUGGGGAAUAUUGCACAAUGGGGGAAACCCUGAUGCAGCGACGCCGCGUGGAGGAAGAAGGUUUUCGGAUUGUAAACUCCUGUCGUUAGGGACGAUAAUGACGGUACCUAACAAGAAAGCACCGGCUAACUACGUGCCAGCAGCCGCGGUAAAACGUAGGGUGCAAGCGUUGUCCGGAAUUACUGGGUGUAAAGGGAGCGCAGGCGGGAAGACAAGUUGGAAGUGAAAUCUAUGGGCUCAACCCAUAAACUGCUUUCAAAACUGUUUUUCUUGAGUAGUGCAGAGGUAGGCGGAAUUCCCGGUGUAGCGGUGGAAUGCGUAGAUAUCGGGAGGAACACCAGUGGCGAAGGCGGCCUACUGGGCACCAACUGACGCUGAGGCUCGAAAGCAUGGGUAGCAAACAGGAUUAGAUACCCUGGUAGUCCAUGCCGUAAACGAUGAUUACUAGGUGUUGGGGGAUUGACCCCUUCAGUGCCGCAGUUAACACAAUAAGUAAUCCACCUGGGGAGUACGACCGCAAGGUUGAAACUCAAAGGAAUUGACGGGGGCC
rnacentral:rRNA from 1 species